GUACUUGUUUUUAUAAGUACAAAAAAUCGAACCAGAUCGGAAACUUUUACCGGAUGGGCAACCCUCGGUUUUAGUUGGCUAAUUUCUUGGAAUUUCCA